rnacentral:rRNA from 1 species
ACAAAGUUUCCGUAGGUGAACCAGCGGAGGGAUCAUU